UACGUAGGUGGCAAGCGUUGUCCGGAAUUCUUGGGCGUAAAGCGCGCGCAGGCGGUCCUUUAAGUCUGAUGUGAAAGCCCACGGCUCAACCGUGGAGGGUCAUUGGAAACUGGGGGACUUGAGUACAGAAGAGAAGAGUGGAAUUCCACGUGUAGCGGUGAAAUGCGUAGAGAUGUGGAGGAACACCAGUGGCGAAGGCGACUCUUUGGUCUGUAACUGACGCUGAGGCGCGAAAGCGUGGGGAGCAAACAGG
rnacentral:rRNA from 1 species